UGGGGAAUUUUGGACAAUGGGCGAAAGCCUGAUCCAGCAAUGCCGCGUGUGUGAAGAAGGCCUUCGGGUUGUAAAGCACUUUUGUCCGGAAAGAAAUCCUUGGCUCUAAUACAGUCGGGGGAUGACGGUACCGGAAGAAUAAGCACCGGCUAACUACGUGCCAGCAGCCGCGGUAAUACGUAGGGUGCAAGCGUUAAUCGGAAUUACUGGGCGUAAGCGUGCGCAGGCGGUUUGCUAAGACCGAUGUGAAUCCCGGGCUCAACUGGGAACUGCAUUGGUGACUGGGCAGGCUAGAGUAUGGCAGAGGGGGGUUAGAAUUCCACGUGUAGCAGUGAAAUGCGUAGAGAUGUGGAGGAAUACCGAUGGCGAAGGCAGCCCCCUGGCAAGUACUGACGCUCAUGCACGAAAGCGUGGGGAGCAAACAGGAUUAGAUACCCUGGUAGUCCACGCCCUAAACGAUGUCAACUAGUUGUUGGGGAUUCAUUUCCUUAGUAACGUAGCUAACGCGUG
rnacentral:rRNA from 1 species